AGCCGACAUCGGGCUUUGAGAAAGUGGAAGACUUCACUGCAGUCAACGUGGCGUUCGAGACCUUUCAGGAGCGGUUGUUCAGCAAGCACUACCUAAAGGUAGACUACAUGAUGCAAGGGCUCGGCAAUGUGACAGCAGAUCAGCUGUUUUUCGUGUACUACGCAUUGAGCCGCUGCGGACGCUCUGGUCUGAAUGGAGGUGCGAUGAUGACGGUGCAACAAGAUAGUGUGAACGUGCCUCUGAUGAACUUCCCUGAGUUCGCAAACGCCUUCAAGUGCCGAACUGACUCGCCGAUGAACCCGAGCAAUAGAUGCAGCUUCUGGAACUAAGGACAGCGGAGCUAGUAGCGCCUCACUUGGCACAAAACAAAAAAAAUCAAGAAAGAUUAU